AAUGAACGUUGGCGGCGUGGAUUAGGCAUGCAAGUCGAGCGAGAACCCCGCAAGGGGGGACAGCGGCAAACGGGGUAGUAACGGGUAGGUGACGUACCCUCGGGUCGGGGAUAGCCACGGGAAACUGUGGGUAAUACCCGAUAAUCUCCUGAGUCGUAAGGAUUCGGGAGCAAAGGUGUGAUUCCACCGGAGGAGCGGCCUGCUUCGUAUUAGCUAGUUGGUGAGGUAACGGCUCACCAAGGCGACGAUGCGUAGGGGGUGUGAGAGCAUGACCCCCACCACUGGGACUGAGAUACUGCCCAGACACCUACGGGUGGCUG
rnacentral:rRNA from 1 species